GGGGGUUUAGCUCAUCUGGUAGAGCGUUAGGUUCGCAAUCUAAAGGUGGCCGGUUCGAGUCCGGUAUCCUCCA
rnacentral:tRNA from 1 species